rnacentral:rRNA from 1 species
CGGAGGAUCCAAGCGUUAUCCGGAAUCAUUGGGUUUAAAGGGUCCGUAGGCGGGUUUAUAAGUCAGUGGUGAAAGCCCAUCGCUCAACGAUGGAACGGCCAUUGAUACUGUAGAUCUUGAAUUAUUAGGAAGUAACUAGAAUAUGUAGUGUAGCGGUGAAAUGCUUAGAGAUUACAUGGAAUACCAAUUGCGAAGGCAGGUUACUACUAAUGGAUUGACGCUGAUGGACGAAAGCGUGGGUAGCGAACAGGAUUAGAUACCCUGGUAGUCCACGCCGUAAACGAUGGAUACUAGCUGUUCGGAGCAAUCUGAGUGGCUAAGCGAAAGUGAUAAGUAUCCCACCUGGGGAGUACGAUCGCAAGGUUG